rnacentral:rRNA from 1 species
AACGAACGCUGGCGGCAGGCCUAAAACAUGCAAGUCGAACGCUCUAGCAAUAGAGAGUGGCGCACGGGUGAGUAACACGUGGGAAUGUGCCUUUUGGUACGGAACAACUUUUGGAAACGAAAGCUAAUACCGUAUGGUCCCUUCGGGGUAAAGAUUUAUCGCCAAAAGAGCAGCCCGCGUCUGAUUAGCUAGUUGGUGAGGUAAUGGCUCACCAAGGCGACGAUCAGUAGCGGUCUGAGAGGACGAUCAGCCACACUGGGACUGAGACACGGCCCAGACUCCUACGGGAGGCAGCAGUUAGGAAUAUUGGACAAUGGGGCAACCCUGAUCCAGCCAUGCCGCGUGAGUGAUGAAGGCCUUCGGUUGUAAA